GUGCCAGCAGCCGCGGUAACACGUAGGGAGCAAGCGUUGUCCGGAAUUAUUGGGCGUAAAGAGCUCGUAGGCGGUUCAGUAAGUCAGGUGUGAAAACUCGAGGCUCAACCUCGAGAGGCCACCUGAUACUGCUGUGACUGGAGUCCGGUAGAGGAGUGUGGAAUUCCUGGUGUAGCGGUGAAAUGCGCAGAUAUCAGGAGGAACACCAACAGCGAAGGCAUCACUCUGGGCCGGUACUGACGCUGAGGAGCGAAAGCGUGGGGAGCGAACAGGAUUAGAUACCCUGGUAGUCCACGCCGUAAACGUUGGGCACUAGGUGUGGGGUCUAGCUAACAGAUUCCGCGCCGCAGUUAACGCAUUAAGUGCCCCGCCUGGGGAGUACGGCCGCAAGGCUAAAACUCAAAGGAAUUGACGGGGGCCCGCACAAGCGGCGGAGCAUGUGGUUUAAUUCGAUGCAACGCGAGAACCUUACCUGGUUUGACAUGUAGGAAA
rnacentral:rRNA from 1 species